rnacentral:rRNA from 1 species
UACGUAGGUGGCAAGCGUUGUCCGGAUUUAUUGGGCGUAAAGCGCGCGCAGGCGGUGAGGUAAGUCCGUCGUGAAAUCUCCCGGCUCAACUGGGAGGGUGCGGGGGAGACUGCCUGACUGGAGGCACUCAGAGGCCGGUGGAAUUCCCGGUGGAGUGGUGAAAUGCGUAGAGAUCGGGAGGAACACCAGUGGCGAAGGCGGCCUUCUGGACCAAUACUGACGCUCAUGCACGAAAGCGUGGGGAGCAAACAGG